GCGUCUGAUUAGCUGGUUGGUGAGGUAACGGCCCACCAAGGCGACGAUCAGUAGCCGACCUGAGAGGGUGGCCGGCCACAUUGGGACUGAGACACGGCCCAAACUCCUACGGGAGGCAGCAGUGGGGAAUAUUGGUCAAUGGCCGCAGGGCUGAACCAGCCAAGUCGCGUGAGGGAUGACGGUCCUAUGGAUUGUAAACCUCUUUUGUCAGGGAGCAAAGGGCGCCACGUGUGGCGUUUUGCGAGUACCUGAAGAAAAAGCAUCGGCUAACUCCGUGCCAGCAGCCGCGGUAAUACGGAGGAUGCGAGCGUUAUCCGGAUUUAUUGGGUUUAAAGGGUGCGCAGGCGGAAUGUCAAGUCAGCGGUAAAAUUUCGGGGCUCAACCCCGUCGUGCCGUUGAAACUGGCGUUCUUGAGUGAGCGAGAAGUAUGCGGAAUGCGUGGUGUAGCGGUGAAAUGUAUAGAUAUCACGCAGAACUCCGAUUGCGAAGGCAGCAUACCGGCGCUCAACUGACGCUCAUGCACGAAAGCGUGGGUAUCGAACAGGAUUAGAUACCCUGGUAGUCCACGCAGUAAACGAUGAAUACUAACUGUCCGGGCAGAAUGAUUAACAGGGGGGUGCAGCGAAAAGAGUUAUGUAUUCCACAUGGGGAGUACGCCGGCAACGGUGAAACUCAAAGGAAUUGACGGGGGCCCGCACAGGCGGAGGAACAUGUGGUUUAAUUCGAUGAUACGCGAGGAACCUUACCCGGGCUCAAACGACGGAUGGAUGUUUCUGAAAGGAGGCAGUCCUACGGGACAUCCGUCGAGGUGCUGCAUGGUUGUCGUCAGCUCGUGCCGUGAGGUGUCGGCUUAAGUGCCAUAACGAGCGCAACCCCCAUCGCCAGUUACCAGCAAGUAAAGUUGGGGACUCUGGCGAGACUGCCGGCGCAAGCUGUGAGGAAGGCGGGGAUGACGUCAAAUCAGCACGGCCCUUACGUCCGGGGCGACACACGUGUUACAAUGGCAGGUACAGAGAGAAGCGAUGCGGCGACGCAGAGCGGAACUUCAAAGCCUGUCUCAGUUCGGAUUGGAGUCUGCAACCCGACUCCAUGAAGCUGGAUUCGCUAGUAAUCGCGCAUCAGCCACGGCGCGGUGAAUAAAAUCCCCGGGCCUUGCACACACCGCCCGUCAAG
rnacentral:rRNA from 1 species